rnacentral:tRNA from 1 species
UGGCCUGGUGGUCUAGGGGUAUGAUACGCGCUUCGGAUGUCAAAAUCCCCAUCUUCUACUAAAAAGGUGGCCCUCCUUAUGCGCGUGGUCCCGGGUUCAAAUCCCGGCCAGGCCCU